CCUACGGGAGGCAGCAGUGAGGAAUAUUGGUCAAUGGACGAGAGUCUGAACCAGCCAAGUAGCGUGAAGGAUGACUGCCCUAUGGGUUGUAAACUUCUUUUAUAUGGGAAUAACAUGUUCCACGUGUGGGAUUUUGUAUGUACCAUAUGAAUAAGGAUCGGCUAACUCCGUGCCAGCAGCCGCGGUAAUACGGAGGAUCCGAGCGUUAUCCGGAUUUAUUGGGUUUAAAGGGAGCGUAGGUGGAUUGUUAAGUCAGUUGUGAAAGUUUGUGGCUCAACCGUAAAAUUGCAGUUGAAACUGGCAGUCUUGAGUACAGUAGAGGUGGGCGGAAUUCGUGGUGUAGCGGUGAAAUGCUUAGAUAUCACGAAGAACUCCGAUUGCGAAGGCAGUUCACUGGACUGCAACUGACACUGAGGCUCGAAAGUGUGGGUAUCAAACAGGAUUAGAUACCCCGGUAGUC
rnacentral:rRNA from 1 species